AACCUGGUUGAUCUGCCAGUAGUCAUAUGCUUGUCUAAAAGAUUAAGCCAUGCAAGUCGAGUGAUUCGGAGCAUCUCUUGUCAAGAGGGAAGGCAUCAUGGAUGACUGCGAAAGGCUCAUUAAAACAGUUAUUGGAUCUGGAUGGUCAGAGGAGAACAAGGAGGAUAAGGGUGUGAUUCGGAGCUAAUUCGUCGCACGUGAUCGAAUUUAUCUCGGCCUGGCAAAAUGAGGCUUACGACCAAUUGGAAGGGCAGAUCGCCAGUGCCAAGAUAACAAUCCCUUUGAAAACAGCAGGUUUAUGGGCGCGGGUACUAAAGUUUGUAUUAUCUCCCGAGGCUCAUUAAAACAGUUAUUGGAUCUGGAUGGUCAGAGGAACAAAAGGAGGAUAAGGGUGUGAAAAUAGAGCUAAAACGAGGGAGGGGGAUCUCGACACGAGAGGAUUCAUCUUGUUGAGAUGGGAAAAAGGGAUUUUCAAAAUUUCAUAAAAAGAAGCGUAACAAUUUAAGCCUGGGUUAAUCAAAAAAAACAAGGUGGAAAUGGUAAACCUUCAUUUUUGAAUUUUUAACAAAAAUUGGAUUACCCCUAAAUGGCCACCGGCAGUAAAUGACUAGAUAGCCAUGCAGUGCGAGUGAUCGGUGCAUCUCUUGUCAAAGAGGGAAGGCUUUGGAUGACUGCGAAUUCAUGGUUUGGAACCGGAUAGAGCUAAAACGAGGGAGGGGGAUCUCGACACAGCGUCUUCAAAAGCGCAACAAGUGAAGAAGGGAUUUCUAGAAUUUCAUAGAGAUACGAGAGGGAGCAUGUGAAUAUUUGACCUAUCAACUGGGGAUGGUAGUAUAGAGGACUACGAUGGUGGUGACGGGUAACGGAGGAUCAGGGUUUGAGACCGGAGAGGGGGCCUGAGAGAUGGCCACCACUUCUAAGGAAGGCAGCAGGCGCGAAAAUUACCCAAUGUUGGAACAGUGAGGUAGUGACAAGGAAUAACUGGAGAGUCGCGUAUAAGGAGGUUCUUUGGUAAUGGAAGGACGAUAGAGAGGUUCUUGAGUAACGAUCAGAGGGAAAGUCUGGUGCCAGCAGCCGCGGUAAUUCCAGCUCUGAAAGCGUAUACUAGAGUUGUUGCGGUUAAAAAGCUCGUAGUUGGGUUUAGGAGACAUUGAGAAAAAUAGAGUGUUUAAGGGUGAAGUGGGAGAGCACAGGACGUCCUCUCACAAGGAUUCGUUUCUUUUGUGAGGGAGAGAAUAGAAACAAUAGAGGAUAUUAGUAUCCUAUAGUUAGAGGUGAAAUUCUAUGUGAUAACAGGUCUGUGAUGCCCUUAGAUGGUUUCUGCACGCGUGCUACAAUGAUAGAGACAGAUCCACCAAGGAAUUUCAUAUUUUUUUGGAUUGACGCAUCGAAGGAUGGGUGAAAGAGACAGAGAUCCACCAAGGAAUUUCAUCGAAGGAUGGGUUGAAAGGAUGGAGAAUCUAUCAUGUUUAGGGAUUAACGAUUGGUAUUAUUCGUUAUGAACACGGAAUGCCUAGUUUGUAUAAGUCAAGUGGUUAUAUUGAUUAGGUCCCUGCCUCUUGUACACACCGAAGAUUAAAGUGAUAACAGGUCUGUGAUGCCCAAAGAUGGUUUGGGCUGCACGCGUGCUACAAUGAUAGAGACAGAGAUCCACCAAGGAAUUUCAUAGUUUUUUGGAUUGACGCAUCCAAGGAUG
rnacentral:rRNA from 1 species